rnacentral:ncRNA from 1 species
GAAGAAUAUUAGAUUUUCUUAAUGUUCUGUACACAAUCCAGCAACACGGCAACAGGACGUUGCCGAGAGCGAGACCUGAGCCAAGGAUGGCGAAUGUCUCGCGUUUGCGUCAAGCAUAGAACACCUAAUCCAGAACAUUUAGAAAAUCUUAUAUUCGUA